rnacentral:rRNA from 1 species
UUGGAGGGCAAGUCUGGCAGCAGCGCGGUAAUCCAGCUCAUAGCGUAUAUAAGUGUGCAGUAAAAAGCUCGUAGUUGAAUUUGGAUCUCCAAUUGGUCCAUCUUUAGAUGAGUACUGGUUGUGUGGGGUCUAUCCGCCUGGUGAUACGUAAUGUCCUUUAUUGGAUGUCGCGGGUAGUCAGGACCUUUACCUUGAAAAAAUUAGAGUGUUUAAAGCAGGCUUAUGCCGGAAUACAUUAGCAUGGAAUAAUAGAAUAGGACGAAGUUGUUUUAUUUUGUUGGUUUCUAGGACAACCGUAAUGAUUAAUAGGGAUAGUUGGGGGCAUUAGUAUUCAAUUGUCAGAGGUGAAAUUCUUGGAUUUAUUGAAGACUAACUACUGCGAAAGCAUUUGCCAAGGAUGUUUUCAUUAAUCAGUGAACGAAAGUUAGGGGAUCGAAGACGAUCAGAUACCGUCGUAGUCUUAACCGUAAACUAUGCCGACUAGGGAUCGGGCGAUGUUCUUUUUCUGACUCGCUCGGCACCUUACGAGAAAUCAAAG